UACGUAGGCAGCAAGCGUUGUUCGGAGUUACUGGGCGUAAAGAGUGCGUAGGCGGUCUUUUAAGUUUGGUGUGAAAUCUCCCGGCUCAACUGGGAGGGUGCGCCGAAAACUGGGAGGCUUGAGGAUGGGAGAGGCAUGCGGAAUUCCUAGUGUAGCGGUGAAAUGCGUAGAUAUCAGGAGGAACACCUGCGGUGUAGACAGCAUGCUGGACCAUUUCUGACGCUGAGGCACGAAAGCGUGGGUAGCAAACAGG
rnacentral:rRNA from 1 species